rnacentral:lncRNA from 10 species
GAAAACUUAUGUUGAAUUCAUAGGUUAGCCAUUAUACACAGUACUGCAAUGAACAUGGGAGUGUAAACAUCUCUUUGACACACUGAUUUCAAAUCUUUCAGGUUCAAAAAUUCAUGUUGCACUGAAGCUCAUUGUUUGCAAACUCAUUCAGCAUAUUGGCAUUAGAUCUAAAAAGAGGAUGUACAACAUGAAAACAAACAUCUUUCUUAGUUGGCUCUUUCAUCUUUUAUAUAACUAUGCAACUCAGUAACCAUUAGGACUACUUUCAAUUACAUUUGGAUUUCAUCACUUUUUUUUACUCCAGAAACUAUCUGAAAUCAUCUCAAUAGUUACAGAGUUUGUGAUGUCAACAAACUUUUUUCAGUAGUGACUACGGUACUACUGCCCAUAGUUAGUUAUCACUGCAGUUUUGCUGGCAGCCUGAGAUCUACAAACCCUUGAAAUUAUGGAGCACUAAUUUGUUUAAAUAGCCGUUUUUUUAAGUUGGCCUAAGACCAGGAAUAACAAUGAGUUCUCUAAAUUUAUUGGAUAUUUUAUUUAUUUUUGAACUUUAUUUUGUGAUCGUAUAGCUUGGUGAUUUGUUGGACACACCAAUGCUCCUGACACAUGCUAUUCACUUGGAGCAGCUCCUCUUAUGUGGCACAUUCACAGUGCAACGGUAAGUCAUUUCACCAUCU